UACGAGAGGCCCAAACGUUAUUCGGAUUUACUGGGCUUAAAGAGUUCGUAGGCGGUCCGUCAAGUGAGGUGUGAAAGCCCCUCGGCUCAACCGAGGAAUUGCGCUUCAAACUGUCGGGCUCGAGGGAGAUAGAGGUGAGCGGAACUGAUGGUGGAGCGGUGAAAAUGCGUUGAUAUCAUCAGGAACACCAGAGGCGAAAGGCGGCUCACUGGGGUCUCUUCUGACGCUGAGGAAACGAAAAGCUAGGGGGAGCAAACGGG
rnacentral:rRNA from 1 species